UCGCUUGAAAAUGUAUGGUUGUUAGCUUGCCUGGCGUCAAUAUGGCAGCAGUGCAGAGCCACGUCUCCACCGGAAGUACAGCGCGGGACCAACCCACACUGCAAAACUGUGACGUGUGCCUUCGUACUCCGUUGAUCCUUGCACUGACAAACGACUAAGGUCAAUCCAAACUGUACAGGGCCUUCAAAAUCAGUAGUGCCGGCUUCUUCACCCCUGAGCCCUCCUCUCAGUGGGACGUGCCUGGAACACCUCACCAGGGAGGCCUCCUAUUGAGAUGCCCAAGCCUGGCUCGUCUUGAUGUGGAUGAGCAGUGGCUUGACUCUGAGGCCCUCCAAAAUGACCAGGCUUUUCACUUAUCUAUUUAGGACAACCCGCACACCUUGGAAAACUCGUUCCCGCCGCUUAUAUCUGCUUAUAUCGGCGAUCUUGGUCUUUCACGGUCCCGAACUUGUGAGGAUCAAUUCAGCGAUCUCCUGGUUCAUUCUUUCUUCACUCAUGAACGAUACCCCAAGAUACUUGAAUUCCACCACAUGGGGCAGCAUCUCAUCCCUGACCUGCAGAGACCACCCCACACCUUUUAACUGAUUACCAUGGUGUCU